rnacentral:lncRNA from 1 species
GUACUUCGAUUCGCCGUUCCCGACACCACUGGUCCCUCCUCCAUGAACUGCUGGUACUGUUAAACCCUAGAUAGUAGAAACCGAAUCAAAAAAAGGGUGAAUGCUCCAGAAGAAGGAGAGAUAAAAUUAGAAAAUUGGGGAGAGAAUGCACCGAAUUGUGGAAUCGGAGAGCGUAAUGCAUAAACUUCGGUGGCCAUUUUGCCGGUAAGGAUAAAAAGGAAUGCUAAAUUAAAAAUAAAAAAAUAAAAAAUAAAUUGAUUAUACUUUUUAUAAAUAAUAAUUUGAAUUGUGUUAUGAAAUAGAAG